rnacentral:lncRNA from 1 species
GAAAAACCAAAGAGAUGAGCUGAGGCUUGAUGGCUGAAAUACAUACUGUAUGUGCAGUAAAUUACCUUUCCAAUCUCUCUUUCUCGUCGAUGGAAAAACUUAAUGAUUUCUGAAGAGAUUCCAUUUCUGCUCGAUUUUGAAUAGCCUUCAGGUAGCAAAAACAAGCCAUAAGUUAGAGUUUGUUUUCAUCGAAAUUAAAGAGAGAAGAAAACUCGACAGAAGGCAAGAAUAACCUGCAUCCGGAGGAAUUCAUUCUCAUCUUGGAUUGAUGAAAGUUUCUUUGACUCCUGAUUCUGCAACAAUACAAUAACAACAAGUGUCGGAAUAUUAAUACUUUGUGAGGUACUUACCAGCACAGAUGAAAGACAUUUAAGCCCAUACCUGGUUCGAGUAGAACAUGUUGCUGAUGUUACCGUCUUCUUUCACCGUGGAGCAAUCUGAUUCGUGCAUGAGUUUCCAAUCAAGGGCUUCUAGCAGCUGUACAUUAUAGAUCCAAGUUACAUGCUAAUUCAAAUCGUAAAGAAAACUUCUGAGGUCUAGAAAUGAGAGAUUAUUUUAUUCACCUUAGCUUGUAACACUUGAAUUUGUUGAUUCAAGAUAUCCCGUUCACCUUCCUCACAUUGUGAUUUCAAUCUGUGUAGCAAGUAAAAGUUUCAUAACCAUAAG